rnacentral:rRNA from 1 species
CCUACGGGAGGCAGCAGUGAGGAAUAUUGGUCAAUGGUCGGGAGACUGAACCAGCCAAGCCGCGUGAGGGAGGAAGGUACAGAGUAUCGUAAACCUCUUUUGUCAGGGAACAAAGGCGGGGACGUGUCCCCGGAUGAGUGUACCUGAAGAAAAAGCAUCGGCUAACUCCGUGCCAGCAGCCGCGGUAAUACGGAGGAGGCGAGCGUUAUCCGGAUUUAUUGGGUUUAAAGGGUGCGCAGGCGGUCUGUUAAGUCAGCGGUCAAAGCCCGGGGCUCAACCCCGGCCCGCUAUUGAAACUGGCAGGCUCGAGUUGGAGAGAAGUAUGCGGAAUGCGCGGUGUAGCGGUGAAAUGCAUAGAUAUCGCGCAGAACUCCGAUUGCGAAGGCAGCAUGCCGGCUCCACACUGACGCUGAGGCACGAAAGCGUGGGUAUCGAACAGGAUUAGAUACCCUAGUAGUC